rnacentral:rRNA from 1 species
GACAGAGGAUGCAAGCGUUAUCCGGAAUUAUUGGGCGUAAAGCGUCCGCAGGUGGCCUAUCAAGUCUGCUGUCAAAGACCGGGGCUUAACCCCAGAAAGGCAGUGGAAACUGAAAGGCUAGAGGAUGGUAGGGGCAGAGGGAAUUCCCAGUGUAGCGGUGAAAUGCGUAGAGAUUGGGAAGAACACCGGUGGCGAAAGCGCUCUGCUGGGCCAUAACUGACACUCAGGGACGAAAGCUAGGGGAGCGAAUGGG